UUUAUUAUUUACUAGACAAGUAGAACACAGAGCUGGUGGGAAGCUCUGGUAUAGCCUCACUUUUUAAAUCAGCUGACAGAAAGAGGUACUUUUAAAUGGCGAAUGCUCUCAGAUAUCUGGGCAAACAGCGGUCCCUUCGCGACCACUGGCUUGCCGCGCCUUUGCUCUCGGACGCCCCCGCCCCCUGCCGCAAGUGCGCGUGGCUGUGGCAUGACAGCGCUGGCGGGACCCCGGUGUGCCCUGACUCGUCCGCUGUCCACCCACGCCACCCCGCUUUAAACAGCUGGUGCUUCCACUUCCCUGUUCUGUGUAGCAGGGAGAACAUGUCGCAACACAUUUUUUUUUUUUUAAAUCAUUGAAGCAUGAAAACUUGAGCGAAUCUGGUGGCUGCAUCGCUAUAUCGCUCGGAUAUUCAUGGCUCUCCGAGGCAGAACGUCGCACGGAGCAGACGAAGGGGAAGAGCCGCUGGAAGAGAGAGGACGCGGCCGGGACAAGGAUUCGGUCACCGCGAAACGACGGACGACUUGCUGGGAUAUUCCACCCUGUGCGCUGGAAGCUAUGGCCACAGCAGCCGGCGAUAUGCCUAAAAAGGGACUGUGGCUAGGCAUGGCUAGCUGCAAUUCUGGCAGCUGUGACAGCAUGGCCAGCACGACCUCGAAUCGCUCUGAGCGCAGUGAUAACAGUUAUGACUACUUAUCUGUGGAAGAGAAAGAGUNNNNNNNNNNNNNNNNNNNNNNNNNNNNNNNNNNNNNNNNNNNNNNGGCUCGCUGGAUGCAGAAGCAGACAGCGGCGUCUCUACCGAUGAGACUGACUCUGCUGAGCCUGCCAAGCUGCCAAGGACGUGGCCCAAGAGAGACUCUGGUCCCAGGGAUUUGGAAAAGGGGGCUCCCGCGCAAAGCACAGGCCAGCAGCGUGCAACCGAACAAAAAAGCGAACAAAAAGCGAGCGCCUUCUCCAGCUCUGCUCCGGCAGCGUUUUCAAGUCCGGGCUAUUACAGUCUUCCAAGGAAUAUCGCUGCAGCGAACGCGCAAAGAGCAAACAAAGCUUCUGACAGCAAAGCAACUGCCCACGCCAUGGGGGACCCAGUGCCAAAAGAGAAACCUUGGCAGGAGACGGCCAGGGAGGAAAGGCUGGAUCAAGCCAGCGCAAGAUCCCAGGCGAAGCCGCUGGGCUCGAUAAUUAUCCAACCUCCCGAAGCUUUCCAGGAGGCCGUGGCGGCGCGCGGGGGGCUCUUGCUCAGCAGGGGCUCGGAUGGCAGCAGGGGGAAGGCAGAGCCCGAGAGCCGGGCUGCGGCGCCAGACCCCGGCCCGGAGAGGGAAGGCGCAGCUCUCGCCCGAGGCCUGAUGGAGAAACCAGCCUUAGAGGAGGAUUCGGACGCCAAGCGUGGGCCUCCCACCGCCCCCAAGCCGAGGAAGCUGCCGCCCAAAAACACCAUCUCAGCCGUCUGCCACCUUCCCGGCCAGCUGUGCCACCGCCGAAAAGCCGAACCCAGGGCACCUGGACCCUAAGGAGAGGGAGAAGGCUCGCCGGGAGGCGUUAGAGAAGCUCGGGCUCCCUCAGGAUAAAAGGGAGCCCAAUAUCCCCCUUAAAGCUGUUACUUCGCCCAAACCAAAAGAGGCGCCUGGAGCUGCGAGGAGGGACAACGGCACCAGUGAGGACGCGGCUGCCAUCACGGCUGCCGGAAGCCCGAAGAGGAGCACCAGGUGCUCCGCGGCCCAACAGAGAGGGUCGCCCCGGGCGCGAGACAGGUCAGCUUCAAGUCCAACACCCUGGAGCGCUCCGGCGUGGGGCUCAGCAGCUACAUCUCCAGCAAGGACCAGAGCGUUAAGAGCAGCAGCUCGCUCGGCAAGAUGUCCUUCAUCGAGAGGAUAGCGCCAAGCUUCCUCCGGAGCAGCCGCCCUCGCCCGGCCUCCCUCGGGACGGGGAAAGACUUUGCCAGCCUCAAGGAGCCCAACAACGCGGAGCUGGAGAAAAGCAGCAAGCGGAGAUCCCACCCGCUGCCGAGCUUCUCCAAGCCGGCCCGCUCCUCCUGCGUCAGCGUCAAGAUCUCCCCCAAGGGCGCCACCGAAGAGCACAGGCGAGAGGCUCUCAAGAAGCUCGGCCUGCUGAAGGAGUAGCUCCCGCUCGGCGCCCUGGAGCGAAGCGUGAGGCCAUGGUAGCAGAGCCUGUCGCCCCGAUCCCGGCCCCUCGGCCACCUUUCUUCCUGCGGACAACUACGAGCGUCCCCGGCUGACGGGAUCCCUUGCCCCUAGCCUCUCGGGGGGGACGGACCUGAGCUGAUGCUGCCACCAGAGGUGUUCAGAGCUUCUUGCCAAAUAAAGUCACAUCACACGUACA
rnacentral:lncRNA from 1 species